CGGACUGCAGGCUGCAACUCGCCUGCACGAAGCCGGAGUUGCUAGUAAUCGCGGAUCAGAAUGCCGCGGUGAAUGCGUUCCCGGGUCUUGUACACACCGCCCGUCACACCAUGGAAGGUUGGGGGUGCCCAAAGCCGGCAGGGAAAUAUGCUGUCUAAGGCAAAACCAAUGACUGGGGUGAAGUCGUAACAAGGUAAC
rnacentral:rRNA from 1 species